GUAGGAAGUAGGUGACCUGCGGAAGGAUCAUUGUCGAAACCUGCCUAGCAGAGCAACUUGUGAACAUGUAUACGAACUCGCAGCAAGGGCUUCUGUCCUUACUGCAAAAGGCUCGGGGGACUUGUACCCUUGAGGCUUAUUGUAACUCUAAACCCCGGCGCGGCAAGCGCCAAGGAAAACAAAAUAAAAGAACGCUUUUUAUUGGCCUUCGGGUUGUUGGAAGCGUUUCUUUGUCAUAAACUAAAACGACUCUCGGCAACGGAUAUCUCGGCUCUCGCAUCGAUGAAGAACGUAGCGAAAUGCGAUACUUGGUGUGAAUUGCAGAAUCCCGUGAACCAUCGAGUCUUUGAACGCAAGUUGCGCCCAAAGCCUUCGGGCUGAGGGCACGUCUGCCUGGGUGUCACGAAACGUCGCCCUCCCAACACUAAUAAUGGGGGGAGCGGAGAAUGGCCUCCUGUUGGCUUUUGCCUUCGGUUGGCCCAAAUAAGAGUCCUCGAUGAAGUGCGCCGGCGGCAUUCGGUGGUCGAUACCCUCUGAUGUUGUCGCUUGGUGCAUCUUUGGUCGUCGUGCAGGACUUUGUGGCCCUAAAGACAAUGACGCGACCCCAGGUCAGGUGGGAUUACCCGCUGAGUUUAAGCAUAUCAUAAACCCGGAGGAAA
rnacentral:rRNA from 1 species